UACGUAGGGUGCAAGCGUUGUCCGGAAUUAUUGGGCGUAAAGAGCUCGUAGGCGGUCUGUCGCGUCGGCUGUGAAAACUCGGGGCUCAACUCCGAGCUUGCAGUCGAUACGGGCAGGCUAGAGUUCGGCAGGGGAGACUGGAAUUCCUGGUGUAGCGGUGAAAUGCGUAGAUAUCAAGUGGAACACCAGUGGCGAAGGCGAGUCUCUGGACAUUUCCUGACGCUGAGGCACGAAAGCCAGGGGAGCAAACGGG
rnacentral:rRNA from 1 species